UACGUAGGGGGCAAGCGUUGUCCGGAAUCAUUGGGCGUAAAGAGCGUGUAGGCGGUCCGGUAGGUCCGUUGUGAAAACUCGAGGCUCAACCUCGAGACGCCGAUGGAAACCAUCUGACUAGAGUCCGGAAGAGGAGAGUGGAAUUCCUGGUGUAGCGGUGAAAUGCGCAGAUAUCAGGAAGAACACCCCGUGGCUAAGGCGGCUCUCUAGUACGGUACUGACGCUGAGACGCGAAAAGCGUGGGGAGCGAACAGG
rnacentral:rRNA from 1 species